ACCCUUAGAUGUUCUGGGCCGCACGCGCGCUACACUGACGAAUUCAACGAGCUUUUACUAUAUUUGUAGUAAAUUCCUUUAUCGGAAGAUAUGGGUAAUCUUUAAAUGUUUGUCGUGAUGGGGCUAGAUUUUUGCAAUUAUUAAUCUCCAACGAGGAAUUCCUAGUAAACGCAAGUCAUCAGCUUGCAUUGAAUACGUCCCUGCCCUUUGUACACACCGCCCGUCGCACCUACCGAUUGAACGGUCCGGUGAAAUCUUCGGACUCUGUGUUUAUUGAUUCGUUUCAAUUUACUACUGGAGAAAGUUGAGUAAACCUUACCAUUUAGAGGAAGGUGAAGUCGUAACA
rnacentral:rRNA from 1 species